UCAUACUGUACUUGGUCAGCUGAAUGAUCCUCCCACCAGCCAUAAAAGGAGCUUAACAAAGUAAGCUAACAAAAAAUUUAAGAAAUAAGAACAAGCUGAACAUCGCAAGGCAAAACACUCAGGCAUGAUUAGAUAUUCACUGUCGUCAACAUUGCUUAUCGCAGAAUAUUUAAGGGAUUUUUUUCUUGGUAAAUGUUUACAUUGGAAAAUAUAAUUCUCAGAAUUCUUGCUCAUAUACCUGUAUCCACGCAUCAAGAAUUUCAGUAGAGAGAUUAUCACUAAGGUAAAAUUCUUUUUCCACUUUUUCCCAUACACAAAAAGCUUCAAAAUGUUGAUUUGGGGGAGCUCGGCACCAGGGACACAUAGUUCAACAAUGAUAACUUUACAACACGGCAACAUGUCAUCAAAGAGGAACUCACCUAGCACAACCACCAUGUUGAGAUUGUUUUCUUUGUCUCUUCUUCAGACUACUAAUUGCCCACAUGCUCAUGUUCAAAGCAUCUGUUCUCAACAUCAAGAAGAAACAGUAAAAGAAGAUUUUUUGUACAUGUUCUUAUCAGCAGUAAAUUGGGGCAAAUAAGACAAAAAUUAAGCACAUGUUCUUAGCAGGAGUAAAUGCAAAUAAUACAGAAAUCCUAUGUGCUACUGUAAUAAGACUGAAAUUUAGCACAGUAGAAACACAUGUAACAUCAACCACCUAGAGAUAGAUCAAAUGGAAAAAACUACCAUGCGGACGGGAAACGCAUAUAACAACAAUCACUUAGAGAUAGUCAAUAUAGCAAACAUAUAUUGAACCAAUAAAGUUGGAGGCGUACCUGCCAGCCUGCAAGAUCUCUCUUGCACACCAAAAUAACAUGGCCUCCUGCAGAACAAAGGGAUCUAAGAAUGGCCCAUGAAACCAAGCGAUAUUGCAGUGGAAGGGAGCAAA
rnacentral:lncRNA from 1 species